GACGUAGGGCGCAAGCGUUGUUCGGAAUUACUGGGCGUAAAGGGCGCGUAGGCGGGAUGGCAAGUCGGUCGUGAAAUCCUUCGGCUCAACCGAAGAACGUCGAUCGAUACUGCUGUUCUUGAGGGUUGCAGAGGAGACUGGAAUUCCCGGUGUAGCGGUGAAAUGUGUAGAGAUCGGGAGGAACACCGGUGGCGAAGGCGGGUCUCUGGGCAAUUCCUGACGCUGAGGCGCGAAAGCGUGGGGAGCAAACGGG
rnacentral:rRNA from 1 species